CAGGCCUAACACAUGCAAGUCGAGCGGAAUUAUCCUUCGGGAUAGGUUAGCGGCGGACGGGUGAGUAACACGUAGGCAACCUGCCUGUAAGAUCGGGAUAACUACCGGAAACGGUAGCUAAGACCGGAUAGCUGGUUUCUCCGCAUGGGGGAAUCAUGAAACAUGGGGCAACCUGUGGCUUACGGAUGGGCCUGCGGCGCAUUAGCUAGUUGGUGGGGUAAUGGCCCACCAAGGCGACGAUGCGUAGCCGACCUGAGAGGGUGAUCGGCCACACUGGGACUGAGACACGGCCCAGACUCCUACGGGAGGCAGCAGUAGGGAAUCUUCCGCAAUGGGCGCAAGCCUGACGGAGCAACGCCGCGUGAGUGAUGAAGGUUUUCGGAUCGUAAAGCUCUGUUGCCAAGGAAGAACGCCUCGGAGAGUAACUGCUCUGAGGGUGACGGUACUUGAGAAGAAAGCCCCGGCUAACUACGUGCCAGCAGCCGCGGUAAUACGUAGGGGGCAAGCGUUGUCCGGAAUUAUUGGGCGUAAAGCGCGCGCAGGCGGUCUUUUAAGUUUGGUGUUUAAGCCCGGGGCUCAACCCCGGUUCGCACUGAAAACUGGGAGACUUGAGUGCAGGAGAGGAAAGCGGAAUUCCACGUGUAGCGGUGAAAUGCGUAGAGAUGUGGAGGAACACCAGUGGCGAAGGCGGCUUUCUGGACUGUAACUGACGCUGAGGCGCGAAAGCGUGGGGAGCAAACAGGAUUAGAU
rnacentral:rRNA from 1 species